rnacentral:rRNA from 1 species
UACGAAGGGGGGCUAGCGUUGCUCGGAAUCACUGGGCGUAAAGCGCACGUAGGCGGAUCGUUAAGUCAGGGGUGAAAUCCUGGAGCUCAACUCCAGAACUGCCUUUGAUACUGGCGAUCUUGAGUCCGGAAGAGGUGAGUGGAACUCCGAGUGUAGAGGUGAAAUUCGUAGAUAUUCGGAAGAACACCAGUGGCGAAGGCGGCUCACUGGUCCGGUACUGACGCUGAGGUGCGAAAGCGUGGGGAGCAAACAGG